rnacentral:rRNA from 1 species
AGCAACGCCGCGUGAAGGAUGAAAUCCCUCGGGAUGUAAACUUCGCAAGAACAGGAAGAAUAAGUAAGAGUUAAUAUCUCUUACGAUGACGGUACUGUUUGUAAGCUCCGGCUAACUCCGUGCCAGCAGCCGCGGUAAUACGGGGGGAGCAAGCGUUGUUCGGGUUUACUGGGCGUAAAGGGCGCGUAGGCGGCCACCGCAAGUCGACUGUGAAAUCUCCGGGCUUAACCCGGAAAGGUCAGCCGAUACUGCGGGGCUAGAGUGCAGAAGGGGCAACUGGAAUUCUCGGUGUAGCGGUGAAAUGCGUAGAUAUCGAGAGGAACACCUGCGGCGAAGGCGGGUUGCUGGGCUGACACUGACGCUGAGGCGCGAAAGCUAGGGGAGCGAACGGGAUUAGAUACCCCGGUAGUCCUAGCCUUAAGCGAUGAAUGCUUGGUGUCUGGGGUUUUUAUAGUCCCCGGGUGCCGUCGCUAACGCUUUAAGCAUUCCGCCUGGGGAGUACGGUCGCAAGACUG